rnacentral:lncRNA from 1 species
UUUUUUUUUUGGGUUUUUUUUUUUUUUUUUUUUUUUUUUUUUUUUGGGUAUUUGGUGGGUAUGGAAGUUUUGACGGUUGUGGAAAAUCUUCUAGGAUAUUAAGUCGGUAUUGCUGUACCGUCCAAAAGGUCUUUAUAAAAAAAGAAAGCUAGCUCGCAAUAAUUUCAAUUAAUUCCCACUUUGAUAUGGUAUGAUUCCUUUCACAAAUUACCAUCACCGCAUCAUUAAUUUCCUAAUGCAUGACGAUAUGGCAGGCAUGACCAGUUAAAUUUUCUUUUGUUAAAAAAUAAAAGUCAACGGUCUUCCUUCUUCACUGUACAAAUUGCAGGACACCCCAAAUCACAAGCAAACCAGUCAACUCACGCCACGCGUGGGGUUUCUCAAUCGGAAACUUCUACUUUUCCUCCUCAGACUUCCUGUCACCGACUGGUCUCCGUAUAUAAAGAUAAGCUCCUUGCCAAAUCCUUAGGGUUUUCAAGUUCUUCGCUUGCUCUUGCAUUUUACAUCUGAAUCUAUAUCUAUAUCUAUAUGUACACACACGCAAACUAGCUGCUUCAUCACCAACCAAGCUGCAUUAUAUUUCUUAUCGGGAAAUGAAGGAGAAGUACCAACAAUAUGAGCGUGUAUUCAAUCACUUUGACAGCAAUGGAGAUAGAAAAAUAUCUCCCUCGGAGAUACAACAGUGUGUUGAAGCAAUUGGAGGGGAGCUCUCAUUGGCUGAGGCGGAGGCAGCGGUCGAGUUCUUGGACGCAGAUGGAGAUGGGCUGCUAGGGUUUGAUGACUUUGUUAGGUUAGUUGAAGGCAGUGGUGAGGAAGAGAAAAUGAAUGACUUGAAGGAGGCUUUUAAGAUGUAUGAGAUGGAUGGUUGUGGGUGUAUUACGCCUAAGAGUUUAAAGAGGAUGCUUAGUAGGCUAGGGCAGUCCAAAAGUGAUGAUGAAUGUAAGUCGAUGAUUGCUUAUUUUGAUCUCAAUGGUGAUGGAGUCCUAAAUUUUGAUGAGUUUAGGAUCAUGAUGUCGUGACUUCAUAGAUCGUUUUGUACAUUUGUAUAUUGAUUAUUAUAUUUUGGCUAAUGCUAAGUUACAUACAUGUAUCUUACACCCCUCUCACAUGAAUAGUGAAUGAUGUGGGUCCACUCACUAUUCAUGUAUAUUUUUUAUGAAUUUAGAAUAUCAUUAUGGUGUGAAUUGUUGUGAUCCCAUUGAUGUAAGGAAAAUUUUAGAAUUUGUUCGUUUCAGUUUUUUUUUUAUAUUUUUUUUAAUUAGAGUUAAACUAAGUGUGUUCUUAGGAUUCUUUAAUCAUAGUGCGACUGUAAUUCAUUUUUUUUUUUUUUGGUUUUCAGUUAAUUUAGGGAGCCAGGUUAAUUAUAUUAUAAAUAGUGAUGACUUAUUAUUGUUUUAGGUAAUUAUUGAAAAAGUAUAACUUUUCCCUUUAUCCCCUUGAUAGGAAUGUUAUGUUGAAAUUUUAAUUAUCUCAAAAAUGUAGGUCAUCUUAAAUAAUAGCAUCAUCUUAUCUUCAUUUUUUCUAGAAUUAUUGGGCUCCUUUAUCAUUCCUUGUGCUAUCUUGCUUCUAGUUUUCUUAAUAUCAUGUUAAUAGUCUUCUUUCUUUUUUAUAUGUGAGUGGAUUAGACGUUUUUUUAAUAUUAGAAAAAGUUAGAAUCUGGACAAUACUAUAUAAGAUUUAAUAUAAAAUUAGUUUCAAUAAUUAUCUAAUAGUCUUCUUUCUUUUGAUAUGUGAGUGGAUUAGACGUUUAUUUAAUAUUAGAUAAAGUUAGAAUUUGGGCAAUAUUAUAUAAGAUUUGAUAUAAAAUUAGUUCCAAUAAUUAUCUGAUUGUAAAUAUAUCAAUAUUAAUCUCAUGUACUAUGAGUUGUAAUUUGAGUAAUAAUCUAUUUGAAGUAAAAUAUCCAUCUAUUUAGAAUAGUCAUAGAAAGCCAACUCAUCAUGAAAGGAAGAGGGAUCGUGUGCUUUAGUUAGAGAAACGUGUGAUCUAGCAUAAUUAAAAAAAAAAACACGAAACUUGACUAUAAAAUUAUUGGACCGCCAAUGCUGAAGUUUGAAACUCGCUUAUAGGAUUGGAGUGGGGGUUUAGUUACUAACAUGUUUUCUUUUUUAUCAGUCAUUCUUCUAUUUGUCAGAUAGCACAAAUAAGUCAUCUCCGAAAAGCUCUUCAAAUAAAAUAAAUUUUAUUAUUUUAAUCAAACAUUUUCCUAUACUAAAAUAAUAUGAUACUAUAUUAAAGACUUCAAAAUAAAAUUCUUCAAAUGAAUGAGUGUUUUUCUCUCUCCUCAAUUUCAAAACCCUUUUUGUUAUUAUACCUUUUUAAAUAAGUAAUAAAAAAUUAUUUAAAGAGUGUGCUGAUAAUGCUUUAAUAUUACACUUCUCAACUAAUAUCUCAAAUACCAUAUAACCUUCAUUUAUUAAAUAGAUAAAUAAUUUUAUAAAAUUAUUAGAUUCACCAUCUACUAUAUAAAUAAUGCAUAAAAUGUGGGCUAACAUAUUAAUUACUCCUUAUGCCAAGCGUGAUGCGAUUUGUAAAAGCGCGGUCCGACAGUAUUGGAUUGACUCCAAUUUACUCCAUAGAAAAUUAAAAUAUUUUGUCAAAGUUUGUUAACGAGGCAGGUUCUGCCUUUUUGUGACUUUGACAAAUUAAUUGUCAAAAUUAAAGGAGGUGGGCUGCUGCUGCCUGCGGCUGCUUUAAUAUUAUAUAUAGCCAUGCUGAUGCACUAGUGAUUCAAUCUAACUCUGCCCAAUGGGCCGUGCUGGCCAUCAAUUAGCAGCCCACAAGGGCUCGUGGGCUGGCAUGGCACGGCCUAUUAAUUUGGUGGGCCGUGCCGUGCCCAUCUUUUUUUUUAGUUGAGCUCAGCAUGACCCACACCACGAGCCUCGUGCCGCGCUGUGGGCUGUGCAAAAAAAAAAAUCACCAAUUUUUUAUUUUAGCGUGCUUAAAAACGCCUUCACGUCUGACGUGCUUUAUUCAAGCCCACAUGUCUGGUAUGCUUUUUUAAGCCUACCAAUAAUAAAUAUGAAAAAUAUUUCAUUCACAAAUGAAACAUAUCUCUAUUAAAUAUUAACUAAGUUAUGAUUUAAUAUUAAUAUGAAAAAUAUUUCAUAUAAAAAAUAUUUUAUUAUUAAUGUUGUAAAAUCUUUUAUUUUUUAUUUAUCAUUUAUAAAUUUAUGAUAUUUAUUUAAAACAAUUAAUUUCAAGAUAUUUUUCUUUAAUUUCAUAACAUUUUAUAUUUACUUUUUAUUAAAAAAAAUUACUUAAAUAUAUUUUGGCUCACGUGCUAUUGAUUGCCCACGGGCCGCGUGCUAGCCCACCAAUGAACCGUGCUUUUUCAUGUGCCGUGUUUUGGCCCAUCUCUAAUCGUGUCGUGCUUUUAAGGCUCGCGUGCUCAAAAUUCUAGGCCCGACACGGCCUACAUGCGUGUCGUGCCGUGCCUCGUGCCCCACCAAAAUGUGCUCGUGCCGUACAUGCCCGUGCCCGAGACCGUGCCGUGCCACGUGUUACACGGCCCAUUGGCCAUCUCUAAUUCAAUCCACUCAAUUCACAACAAAUAAUUCAAUCAAAUACUUAAUAUUAAACUCAAAUUAAUAAAAUUAUCAAAGUAUUUUUAAUAUCUAGGAGUUUAAUUUGCGGGGUUAUAGUUUAUAGGAUUCAAAAAUGGAACAUAAAUUAUAAGAUAUUGUAUUUUCAAGAUAAAUAUUUAACUUUUUUUUAGGGCUUUUCACACCAUAAUAAAUCUCAUCUCAUGUAUAACAAUUGGAGAUUAAUUAUUACAAGUACAAUCUAAGGGGUCCAGCUAUGUUGCAACAGUGGUACGGUACCACGGUUGCUUUCAGCAAUUUGAUCUAACUAAUACAAUUGUACAACUAUAGAUCAAAUGGCUGGUUGUAAUAGUGGUACGGUACUACUGUUGCAACAUAGUUUUGCCCUAUAAAUUGAUGUGUAAAUUGUAUUAUAUCGAAUUUUUUUUAAUUAAACCUGCUUCAAUGUAUCAAAAACUCAGUUUGAAAUCAAUUCUUAAACAGGAAAAACUUACACUCACGACACGCGGAAAGUCUUAAAUCUUCAACCUCAAUAAUGAGGCAAGAACAUAGUUUCUGAUCAAUAAAUUGUUAUUUUAUAAUUCUUUUUAAUUUACUGGUGCAGUCAGAUUACCGGGGUCAGAAAUGUGAUAAAGAAACUCUAGAACCUGGUAUCAUUACAUGUAACAUAUUAUUUCAGAAAACAUAGAGAGUAGAAUACAAAAGUAGAAUCCUGCACCUCAUCAUAUCCAAUAAUACUUUGCUAAUUACAUAUAUACUGGAUCCCACCACCCUUAUCAAAAAAGCCACUUCUCAAAAACACAAUUAUUUAAAAGAAGAACUAGAACUACAUUUACUGCUUCACUGAUUUGCUGUUGAUUGAUUACUUUGUAGCAGAUGCUUUUACUAGAGGUUUUGAAGAGCUCUCACAAAUUGAAAUAUGUUCCCCUUGUGGCAAUUCUUCCACUAGUCUUGACAACUUCUCAACAAUUUCUCCAGCACUUGGUCUCAUUUCGGGAUCUUCCUCAACACAAGCUCUUGCAAGAUUGGCCACUGUGACAGCAGCAUCAAAUGAGUAAUUCUCACCCAAUGCACUAUCCAUCCAUUCUCUAAGCUCAUCUGACGUCUCUGCUUGCAAUAUGGACUUGAUUUUCUCUGAAAGCCAGACACUGCCUUCAUCUUUCUUCCUUGGCCUGUUUAUUGGCGUUUGCCCUGAUAACACCUCAAGCAAGACAAUCCCAUAUGCAAAAAUGUCAAUGCUUGGAGCAAUCACCCGCUCAUGAAUGUACUCAGGAGCCAAGUAUCCCAUGCUCCAAGAAGCAGGAUUUGUUGAAUAAAAUUGUGGGCUCUCGUUGUCAUCAUUAACACAACUUGCCAUUCCAAAAUUGCCAACUCUGGCAUUAAAUUCUUCAUCUAAGAAAAUGUUCCUGCUCUUUAUGUUCCUGUGAACAUAACUGGGGUUCAUGAAAUGGUGCAUGUAUUGCAGCGCCAUGGCUACAUCAAGACAGAUUCUUAACCUCUGGCUCCAUGUCAAGAAACAAUAGCAAGAGGCAAUGAAUUGGUUCUUCAUUGCUAACCCGCCAUGAAGCCAAUCCUUUAAUGAUCCGUUUUUUGCAUACUCAAAGACUAGAAAUGAGUGAUGGCCAUCUGUUAAACAAGUCCCCAGAAGCCUGACUAUGUUGGGGUGAUGAUGAGUUGCUUGUUGCACAAGCUGCAUCUCAAGUUUCGUGAUAACUUCAUGCUCUGUGCGCUUUAUUGCCAAGUUUUUCCCAUUGAGCCGGCCAUGGUAGACAGCUCCCUCAAUAAGAUUACUAGAAUUGAAGUUUUCAGUUGCCCUUCUCAGAUCCUCAAUAGAAUAGGAUUCUAAUAGCAGCUUAUGCUGCUCUGCAGUGUCAAUGAUUUGGCCUUCAAUGGUGCUCUGAGAUCCUUCAAAUGACACCUUCUUGUCACUUGUUGUUCUUACGCUUGCACUAAGCUGUUGCAGCUCCACAUCUCUACAAUCCUUAUGGCUAAUCAUUGGACUCUGCUGCUUCUUCUUCUUCAAUAGGAUCACAAUAACAACUGCAGCAAUAGCAAUGCAGCCUCCAACAACAGCUCCACUGAGAGCAAUAUAAGCUCCCACUUUCAACAUCUUGGACUUUUUCUUGGGUGGAGUAAUAUCCGGGAUGCUGUAAUUUGUUUCAGGAACAUGCAAAUUGGGGUCAUGGAGUUUUGCAAGAGGAGCAAGAACGGGCUCACCAUUAAGAGGAAUCAAAAUAGAAGUAAAAGCUAGUAAAUCCUCAGGCUUAAAACCCUCCAAAGAUUUGUUAUUAGCAGCAAUUAUAGCUUCUGGGGUUGUGUUAAACUUAGCAGCCAAGCCAGAUACAGUAUCACCCUCGCCUACCGGAUAAGAAACAAGGAUUCUUGUCUCCGGCAGAUUCUCGGAUGAAGAUGGACAGGCACAUCUUAAGGGAACUUGUAACCGAGCCUUAUCAUCAAGAUCCCAAGGAGACACACUUGGGUUCCUUUCUUUAAUAGCUCCACAAGUUGUCAAGCCCUCAAGUGAUUGAGCUAUGCUAUAAAAGCUCUCGCCUUUGAUUGUAGUUUUGGUUAAAUCAGCUUGAAAGAAGCCACCAUUGUUAUUGCAUUUACAAUCAAUAGGGAUCAACAGAGGCUGAUCUUUGGGAAGGAACUCUGUGUCAGCAGAGAAUCCAUUGGCUCGAGCAAUCACAAAGCGGUUUAAUCCCAAGUAAAAGCUGAGAUUGAAAAGAGAUGAGUAGUAAGAAUUUGUCCGGAGAAUUGCAAAUGUGCCACACUGAUACUGUGAGCCACUGCAUCGAUAACCUGAAACAUCUGCAGAUGAAUUUGUAUCGCAGUUAGGCAAGUUGUUGUUCUGUCCAAAUGAAUAAGACACAAGUGAACAAAUGAAUAAGAACAAAGCAGCAGAAGCAGCUCGACAGUAGAGCUGAUGAGUGAUGAGAGUUGUUGCCAUUGUCACUCAAUUCAACGAAGCAGGUGGGUUAUUAAAAACAAAAGAGAUUUUAUAAGUUAAGAGUGAAUAUUUUGGAUCCAUACACAAAAAAAAGGGGUUAAAUAAGAGUAUUUAGCAAAGCUGUAGAGGGACAGAAUUCUUGGGGAUGCAAAGGAAUUGUUUUUUUCUUCUUCUCUUUUUCACUGACUCCAGCUGUUUGGGGUUAAGCACUUAUAACUAACAUUGGGCUUCAUACCAUUCGCUAAAAGCCGGGGGUGUGGCUGUUUGUUUCAAAAAUCUAAAAAAGAAAAAAGAAAAUCAAUGGCCGGUGAAUCCAUAAUAACCACCAUCAGUAUCCUGAGUUUAACUACUUUCAUAAUUAUCUUUCUUGGGUUUUAAAACUGCUUUUUUAUAAGCCAAAUUAUGCAGAUAAAUCCAUCCAUACACCAUACAUGUCUUAAUAAGAUAAGACAAUGCUCUGGUUUCUGCCUUAUCUAGAUAAAAGGAAAAUGUGAAGUAUUUUACGAUUUGUCACAUAGUUCAUGGAUACAUAUAUGAACAAAUUAAUUUAAAUUGUACAUGCAUCAAAAUACAAAUGCUGAUUUAUAUGCAUGUGCAUACAUUCUUGUAAUUCGUGGCACAAGUGCAUGUCAAUUGAUGCAUCGAACAAGUUAAAGAAAAAUCUUAAACCUAAUCCAUUAAAACUUUGACGAAUACCAAUUAUAAUAGAAGAGAGGGAGAAAAAGGUAAUAGACAUGAUAAGAAUUUGUCGACAAAAUUAUGAUAUCCGUCUGUAUAUCAAGUGUAAUUCGGACUCUCUCAGACAAAAUGUAUAAGAAGAUUUGCUUUCGUUUGUUAACUGAAUUGAUGAUCCUUCUGGCUUUUCUUCACGUAUAUCACGUCACUGAUGACCAAAGUUCUUUCAUUUAAAGAAGAAUUUUAAAACAGGUCACGUGAAUUGCGGUUGUUUGCAACAUGGGCAUUUAAAAAAAAAAUUGUGAGAGAGGUAGCCUUUCUAUGCAUGGACCUCGAAGGAUGAAAAUUAAACUCUAAAUUGCAUAUACGAAUGAUAAUGGUGUAGAAUACUCGUGCAUGCAUUUCUGAGGAUUGAAAAUGAAAUGGAGACAAGUUUUGUAAAGCAGCGAGGAUAGGAAUGAUGUGGGUUUUGAAAGACGUUAUUAGAGGUUGAUGAAUAUUGAUGAUCGAUAUCGAGGAGACGUCCAUGCAUGGUAAAGCUGAGGCAGUAAAGUGAGACUAGCGAUUGAUAGGUCAAUUUGGCCAUGAAAUUCCUAAGUUGACAAGCAAGCACCAACGUUCCAAAAGUAAAAUGUACCCACUAUGGUAAAUCAUCACACCAUAUCAUAGGCCACUAGGUAUCUCUAUCAUUCAAUAGCAUUUUCUCUCUUCCAAUGAUAACCCAAAAGAACAAAGGCAUAAAUUUUUUCUUUAUAUAUGUAUGUAUGUGUGUGUGUAGAGAAAGUGAGAGAUUUUCAUGUACAAGUGUCUUCAUUUUGUUCAAGCUGACACAUUAUUAAAUCAUAUAGUUUAAUAAAGUUAAUAUUCAAUGGCGCUCGCAACUGAAAAGACCUAAUUCGGUGUUUUAAAAUAUUGUAAAUAAAUAUCUACAUUAAAGAAUGAUUAUAUAUAGAGAGAGAUGGAAAGAGAGGGAGAGUAAAAGUUCGUUUAGUCCCUAUAUUAUGAGGUUAGUGCUUAUUUAGUCCCAGUAUUUUUAAAAAUAUCUUAACACAUCCCUACCGUUAAACUAUUGACAUCCAUGCCAUUACUUUUUAUUCAUUUUGGCUUGCUUUUAUAAUAUUAUCCUCUUAAAUAAUGUUUCUUUUUUGUGGGACAAUAAUAAAAGAAAAAAUUAAAAUAAUUCCAAAAAAUAAAAUAAAAUAAAAAUAAUAUAUAUUAAUUUUUGUGAAAGCUCACGUAUGUCCAAAAAUUAAUAUUAUAAAAAAAAUUAAACUAUCAAUUUUCUUGGAUAUUAAUAAAAAAUUAAUAUAUUAACUCCUUUGCAAAGUGUUCCACAAAAAUUAUAAUUAUAUUUUUUAUUUCUAUUUUAUUUUGGGGUAAAAUUGGUAAUUUAAUUUUUUCUUUUUAUUAAAGUUAAAAAAAGAAACAUUAUUGUAAGAGGGUAAUAUUGUAAAAGCAAGUUAAAAGAAACAAAAAGUAAUGGCAUUGUGUCAAUAAUUUAUCAGUAAGGAUGUUUUGAAGUAUUUUAAAAAAUAUAUGAACUAAAUGGAUACUAAUCUCAUCAUAUAGAGACUAAAUGAGCUUUUACCCUAUAUAUAUUACAUUACAAAUUUAUUAGGACUGAUUUUCAUUAGCGCAAUAAUAAUGAGCUAAGAAGCUUGAAAAUUAACUUUAAAAGAGAAAACAAAAUAUAUUCAUAACAAAUUAUGGAGAAAUUUAUUUGUCAUAUGUACAGUUGGAGGAUUUCAACCCCUUCUCACAAAAUUGGAGAAGAAAGUUGAGGAUCAUCCAACAAAAACGUAUUUGAGUUAGUAAAAUUUGCAUAUGGAGAAAUUAAAUUUUAUUAAAAUAUAAACUUUAAUUAUAAGAAGAGUGUUUAAUGUGGCUUGUGUCUAAUGUGGCUUGUGUCUAAUCCCCAAGUAAUUAGUGCUGAAUGCAUGAAGUUUAAGCACGCGAGUGUCUUCAGAAUAGGGAGAUUUGAGUGACACACAGGAACAUUCCACGACUGCAAGCACAAAGAAGAAGAAAAAGUACUUUUCUUAAAAACAAAGGGAAUAAGUGCUUUUAUGAUCCCAAGUACCAACACCAAUAGAACGAAGAAAAAGGACCCUAUUGAGAGAGCUGAGACUAGAGAAUUAACUGCACGUGAGAACACGUGAUGACCACUCAACAAGCAUCCGGGACAUGAAAGGACUUUUUUUUUAUCUUUGAUCGAAGAUUACAAAUUAUAUAAUAGUGUGCACUCGUGUGCUACUACAACUGAAGCCAUCUCGUGAGUUUAAAAGCCACUUGGACUUGGAUCCAUUAGAACUCAGAAACAAAGCAACCCCUACAACUUGCCUAUAAAGGAAAGAUGUUACUUAAUGAUGAAGUAAUGUGUUAAAUAGCAUUAGCUGCUAAGAUGAGUGAUUCGAAAGAUAUAUGGAUGGAUAUAUCAUGAUAUCUUUUAAUUAAGUUUUACUAAGCAUUUUACACUGCACUUUAUUAAAACAAGGAUUUAAUCCACCAAGCAAACAACUAGAGAUAAUAUUUUUCACAAAAAAAUUUCCCAGGUGCGAGGUAUUUGCCGGCAUUCUGACUUUUGACUAGAUUCUACAGAGUUGUGCAUUUGGCUAAUUGCACCUAAGUUCUCAGCUCAGUGUCAUGGCAUAAGUAUGUCCAAUUUGAGUGGCCCGUGACAUCAGGGAUGCAUUUCUUAAGCAUAUUGUGUCCAAAAUUUAUUAACAAUCUUUUUAAUUGCAAAUGUAAGUAUGCAUGCACUAUCUUCCAAAAGAAUAUAUAUGCAUAUGAAAGUAUCUUAUACAUACAGUUUACUUAUUAGUAACAAAUUUUCUUGUUUCUUAUUAGAAAAAAGAGAAGAAAAAGAAAAAGAAAAAUUUUGACAAGUGACGAGGUACACGAAUUGCAAACAUACAUUGAACAGAGUAUAGCCAUGGUGUUAUCUUACCCGCAAAAACAUCAACUGUUUUUCUGGGCAUCUUCAACACUCUUUCUCAUGAGUGAUAUAACAUGGGCUGGCUCAGGAGCCCCGAACACUGAACUUCCAGCAACAAUGCAGUUCGCACCUGCAGAGGCUGCCUCGGCAAUGGUUGAAGGUCCUAAACCACCAUCGACCUGAAAACCAAACAGGAAAAAAUAUAUUCAUGUGCAUGUUCCACUCUCGAGUAUUCCAAAAAAAACAUAUGAUCAUUCUAAACCUCACAAACUUAAACUUGUAUAUGCAGGUUUUGGGGUGAGUGGGAGAGAAAAAGACCACUUCUUCGUUUACUUUUUCAUUUCUUAACCUUAGUACAGACUUCUCCCAAUCCUAUACCAGCUAUUCCAUCCCAAAGAGCCCCUAGAUGCAAAGUGAAUAUCAAAACCACAGAAAAUGGGGAUUUUGGCACAGACAAGUAGUUUUGAAAGGUGUAGGAUCAACAUUAAUUUCUUGUAAUUCUCUUACUUACGGGAUUACUUCUAGCAAUGGUUAAGAAAUGAUCAAGAUUAAUAUGAAAAUAAACAUGAUUAAAUCAACAGAAGUAUUAACAUUUACAUCAAAUUCAAUGAAUUGAUCUACACUGGAGCUUCUUACAAGAAAAGUUACAGAAUGAAAUAAGAGAUGGACUUACCUCUAUAUCAAGAGAUGGAUACCUAUUUCUCAAUGUACGCACCUGAAUCAUCCACCAGAAUAAAGAGAUUAGGAAAGGUUACCACAAGUAAGAAGACAAAAUAAUCAUCAUAUCAGUAAUAACGAGCAUAAUAACAAAGAGAAAGAAGGGAAGAUGAAAGUAAUGGCACCUUAUCCAUCAUUUCUGGCAUGAACUUUUGACCACCAAAUCCAGGUUCUACAGUCAUUACAAGAACCAUUUCCACAGGAUUUGCACCUUCAACCUAUAAAUUUUUUGAAAUUAUAACAAGGUCAAAACUUUUAAUGUCUGGAUUCUUUUAAAAAACAAUCCUAUCAGUUUACUGAAUGAUAAGCCACAACAAAUUAAACUUAAUUGAGUUUCAUAUUGCUAAUUCAGAUUAUUCUCUUUGAGUAUUCUUUUUCAAAAACUCAAAAUCGAAGGAGGAAAGAAUUUAUACCAGGGGAUAAACUUCUUCAACGGAUGUACCAGGCUUCAAUGCCACACCAGGCCUCAUGCCCUUAGACUUAAUUCUUUGGACAAGUUCUUGCCAGUUAUCUGCAAAAUGAACCAGGAUACCUCUUCAUAAGAUGAUAAGAAGGAGAUGACAAGAGAUUGAGAAUAAUAUCGAAGAGAAAAAGAAUAGAAAUGAAAAGGGAAAAGAAGACAACAUCAUAGCCCACCUUUGGAUAUCUCCACAUGAAAGGUAAAACCUGAAGCACCUGCUUUACCCAGAGGUUCAACAUAAUCAAGAGGAUUUGUUACCAUUAGGUGACAAUCAAGAUAUGCCCUGUGACAGAUUAACGAUGAUUGUUUAUCUAAUAACCAUUCUAAACAUGCCACUCCCACAAGAACUAAAAAUUUUGAAAUGAUAGGCAAAAGAUGUUACUUUGUAUGCUUUCUCAAACUUUCAAUCACUGGAGCACCAAUAGUUAGAUUUGGAACAAAGUGCCUACAAAACAAAGAAGGCAAGCGUUUAAAAAAUAAAAAAUAAGAAUAACCCAAAAAAAAAAAACAAUGUGCAAUACUUGAUCAGCACUGAUCCAACUAUCACAAGCAGCAAAGCGAAGGUCAUGUGAAUAUUGAAGGACAUAAACCAUCCAGAUUAAAAAGCAAAACACAUAGAAUUUAACAGUUUCUUACUCUCAGAAUCACAAUAUGAUUUAGUGUGACUCACCGAACAGAGAAGCCGGUCUUAGUUGCUCUACCUUUCAAGUAUCAAUAUCCUCAUUGACAACCACGAUUCUUUCUUUUGUUUAUAAAUAAACAUUCAAACAAAGUAUCGAUUAUUUAGUAAACCCAACUCCUAGAAUUUACUAGCAAAUAACGAUGGCCUAAGAAUGACAACAGAACUAGUAGGUACACAAUGUCAUUCAGUUUAGUUAAAUUUUACAUAACAUUAUUUUCAAUUCCCACUUGCUUAUAGCAUCAGCAGCAUCCCACAUACAAAUUACAAGAAUCACUUUCAAGGCUUCAAUGUAAAACUGUCCUCGUCCUGUUUAAUAACAUCGCAGAAACUUCAUUUCCUUGUUUUACACCAAAUAAAACUAUCAAAAUCCAAAAUAUUGUAGCAUUUUUAUUAUUUGAUGAUAGUAGACCUUAAUUUUCUAAAAUUUUUAGAGAAGGGUAAAUAAACAGUCCAUGAACGGAACUCUUAAACAGAAUUACAGAAUAGAAUCUGUCGAAGUGUAAAAGGAACAACAAUUACGAAUCGAAUGGUUACGAUAUUAAUUCAAUGGAGAGAAUGCGCAUCAAACCUACCCAUCCUGCACACAAACAAUAAGAAAAACACGUUAAUUAGAAGAACAUUUCACAAUAGCAAUGUAUGAUGCAGUCAACGCAAGUCAAACAGUACAUUAGAUAAAGAAAAAUAAAAAUAAUGAUCUUGUUGUUGUUCGUUUCAUUACUCGUAUCUGUCAUCAAUCUGGAAUUUGAAUUUAUAUAUAAAAAGGAUUUGCCAAACAGGGCGUAAAUAAAACUAAAAAUACAAUAAGCUAACCAAAUUAUUACGUCAUAAUGGCGAUUAAUUCUUACAGCGUAAAGUUAAGGCAGCAUACCAUGAUGUCCAUGUGAAGCCAAUCGGCCCCACAGUUGAGUAUGCGCUCGGCCUCGGAUGCUAAGUUGGCGAAGUCCGACGACAACAUUGACGGUGCUAUUUUUGCCGUUACGCCCAUUUUUUUUUUUUGUUUUGGUUGGAUUUACGACACGACGCGACCCGAUUCAGAUGCGCACGGGUUUGGACUCUUUUUGUCGGAGAAGAGAAAUCGGAGAGACAAGAAGAUUCUUUUUUUUUUUGUUGCAAGCUAAAUAUUAUUUUUUUGAGAUUUUCGUUUUUGUUUUUCUAAUUACUACCAAGACCCGCUCUGACCUAACUCUGUUCAGUACCUAACAAAACUUCCGCGGCUCUGACAACGGAAAGUGAAAAAUUAACGGAGGAUUACGCGGCAGAGUAGACUACGCCUAAUCCUAUUUUCACGAUUUUUUUUUUUUAUAAAGAAAGUAAAUUUUGUUAGCGUUGGGGGGUUUGGUAAUCUUCUUAUUUUUUAUUACACUCACGGUAAGAAUUUAAAUUUCUACACUUUCGUAUAAUACAGUUUAAAGUGCCAGUUUAAUAAUGUUGUGUCUUUUAAAAUAAUUAUUAGAGUGAUGAUAUAAUUAUAAAUUCUUAUAUAACUUAUCUUGUACAAACUGACAUGACAUUAAUCUAUUGAUUGAAUGAAAAUAUAAAAUAAUAAAAAUAAAUCAUAUGGACCAGGAUAUAUUUAAUUUAACUAAUAAAUUAACGUCAUAUCAGUUUGUACAAAAUAAAUUUAUAUAAAAAUUUAUACAUAUAUCAUUACUCUAAUUAUUAUCAUUCAUUCUGUAAAAAUAAUUAACUAUUAAAGUGGUGUCCGGUUUGAAGAAACAAGAGAGGAGAAGAGAAUAAGAAAAUAAAUAAGGAGAUGGUGAAAUUAAAUUUGAUUGUUUAGUUUAACAUAAAAUUUUAAAAGUAAAGAAUAUUACAAAAAAAAAAAUCUUAGACUAGUUUAUCCUUUAUCUUACAUACUAAACUUUCAACGUUUGUUAUAAAUAUAAUUAAAAAAAUUAAACUAUGAAUAAUUUAAUUUAAAAAUUAAACAACUAAUAGAUAAAAUAAGUUGAACAGUGUACUUACGAUUAAUUAAUAUAAUUUAAAAUCAAUUAAGUAACACUGCAUAACUAAUUAAAUAAUAUAAAUUAUUUUCUGAAUAAAUUAUUAUUUAAUCAAGAUAAUCAAUUUAACAUCGCUGGAAAAACUGUCAAAGAGCCGCCGCACCGUCGCAGUUGGAUCAUUGUCGGAAUAGAGCUUUUCGUCCCUAAAAUUACAUCAAAAUGUUCAAAAUCUAACGAUCUAGUGACUGAGAAAUAAAAUUGGCAGUGGUUCGCCGAUGACUAUUGCUGUUGUUCAAUAUUAAUAUUUUCAAAUUAAUUAAAUAAUAGAUAUUUGUUAUUUCUAUUAAACUAGUUAAUAUGAUAUUUUAACUUAUUUAAACGAUAAUAUUAAAACUGUUGUUUUAAAAUUGGUUAGGAAUUUAAACUCCUUACCCAUUGGUGCAGACUUAAUAUGCCUCAGUUUUGUAGAUUGAAAUUACUUUAGAAAUUGAUUUCCAAUCAACUUGGACCAACGAACAAAAGAAUUCAUAAAAGAAUCAGAAUUCAUCUCCUUUCCACCCUCCUCUCCUGCUGAUCAAACGUCAUCUAAGAGAAAUAACAAUCUCUUUUAUUUCUUAAUUGAAUAAAGAUAAUUUUAUAAUUUUAUAAUAUAUGUAAGGAUAUAUAUGAAAUUAUUUUAAGUAUAAAAUUAAUUCUCAAAUGUAUAGGGUUAUUUGAACACACUAAAUUCCUCCCCACACCCAUUUUAAAAAACUAAGGACCUGUUUAAUAUUGUUUCUGAAUUAGUAUUUUCUAAAAACAAAAUUAAGAAUAAAAAUGUCAUUUUACAGUUGCUCCAUUUUGAAUUUAAGUAUGGGUUUAGUAUCAUGUUUUGUAUCCUGUAUUAUUAAAAGUAAUAAUAUAUGUUCGGCAUUCAUAAUUAACAAGAAUAAAAAUAAUAAAUAUGUGUUCGGUGGUACUAUUUUUAAAAAUAUUUUUUACUAAACAUUUAAGCCAUACUUACAACUAAAAACCAAUGAUUUAACUAAUAGAUUUUUUAGAAUCCAAAAAAAUAAGUUUAAUUAAUAUAAGACACGAAAUAUUCCAAGUUUAAUUAAUAUAGAACAUGAAAUAUUUCAUUCAUUCAUUCAUUGUUUCAUAGCUAACUGGGCAUCACUGCAGUGACCAAACAGAACAAAAGUACAUAUAAAAGUAAUUAAAAAAAAUCAGUUUUGAUCACUGCCCAUACUUGCUCUUCAUCUCCUCAUUGAAUUAUUUGGCUUUAACUUCAUCAAUCUUGGCUGCACUUGUCAUGGACUCCUGUUGCACUUGAGCAGCAGGAGUAGUCGCUCCACCACCAGCAGAAGCAGCAACAUCGAUCCUCAGCAAUCAAUUUGCCACCAGCUGAAACAGAGUAGAGAUACAGCAGCAGCACCACCACCACCACCACCACCACUAGCAGUUGAGACGGAGCUGAGACACAGCAGCAACAGUCGAUUUUGCUUAAAGAACUAAGAUGGAGAGAGAGAGGCUGUUGAAGAAGAAUAGUAUCCCACAAGGGGAAAUGGCUGUAAAUUUAGAUCUGGAAUUAAGAGAGUGAAUUGUGGUUGAAUUAAGUUUGUUUUUAAAAGUUAUUUUGUAAUUUGGUUUCUGAUUCACUGAGAACGUGUUUAGUAAAAUCUGAAUUAUCUUUUUUAUAAUUUGUUUUUUUUUUUUUUUUGAAUUCAUCUACUUAACAUGUAUUACAUCUGUAUCCUCCAAAUAAAAAUGAAAAUAAGCCUUUAAAAAUAUCAAACUGUCUUAAUUAACUAUUAAAAAUUUAAAAUUUAAAAAUAUCAGGAUUACCCUCUAAUAAUCUCUUUCUCUUUUUAACCUUACAAUUAUGUAAUAUCUCUUUUCUCUUAUAUUUUGCAAACUACAUACUCAAUUUCACUUUUUUUUUUAAUUCGUUUUUUU